rnacentral:tRNA from 4 species
ACUAUUUUGGCAGAAAAGUGCCAUGAAUUUAGAAUUCAUAAAUGUAGGAUAAGACCUAUAGAUAGUAC